rnacentral:rRNA from 1 species
AUGGACGAAAGUCUGACGGAGCAACGCCGCGUGAGUGAUGAAGGUUUUCGGAUCGUAAAACUCUGUUGUCAGGGAAGAACAAGUGCCGGAGUAACUGCCGGCACCUUGACGGUACCUGACCAGAAAGCCACGGCUAACUACGUGCCAGCAGCCGCGGUAAUACGUAGGUGGCAAGCGUUGUCCGGAAUUAUUGGGCGUAAAGCGCGCGCAGGCGGUUUCUUAAGUCUGAUGUGAAAGCCCCCGGCUCAACCGGGGAGGGUCAUUGGAAACUGGGAAACUUGAGUGCAGAAGAGGAGAGUGGAAUUCCACGUGUAGCGGUGAAAUGCGUAGAGAUGUGGAGGAACACCAGUGGCGAAGGCGACUCUCUGGUCUGUAACUGACGCUGAGGCGCGAAAGCGUGGGGAGCGAACAGGAUUAGAUACCCUGGUAGUCCACGCCGUAAACGAUGAGUGCUAAGUGUUAGAGGGUUUCCGCCCUUUAGUGCUGCAGCUAACGCAUUAAGCACUCCGCCUGGGGAGUACGGUCGCAAGACUGAAACUCAAAGGAAUUGACGGGGGCCCGCACAAGCGGUGGAGCAUGUGGUUUAAUUCGAAGCAACGCGAAGAACCUUACCAGGUCUUGACAUCCUUUGCCACUUCUAGAGAUAGAAGGUUCCCCUUCGGGGGACAAAGUGACAGGUGGUGCAUGGUUGUCGUCAGCUCGUGUCGUGAGAUGUUGGGUUAAGUCCCGCAACGAGCGCAACCCUUGAUCUUAGUUGCCAGCAUUCAGUUGGGCACUCUAAGGUGACUGCCGGUGACAAACCGGAGGAAGGUGGGGAUGACGUCAAAUCAUCAUGCCCCUUAUGACCUGGGCUACACACGUGCUACAAUGGAUGGUACAAAGGGCUGCGAGACCGCGAGGUUUAGCCAAUCCCAUAAAACCAUUCUCAGUUCGGAUUGCAGGCUGCAACUCGCCUGCAUGAAGCUGGAAUCGCUAGUAAUCGCGGAUCAGCAUGCCGCGGUGAAUACGUUCCCGGGCCUUGUACACACCGCCCGUCACACCACGAGAGUUUGCAACACCCGAAGUCGGUGGGGUAACCGCAAGGA